GGUACCGAAGGCGUCCUAAACAUGCAAGUCGAGCGAACAGACGAGGAGCUUGCUCCUCUGACGUUAGCGGCGGACGGGUGAGUAACACGUGGAUAACCUACCUAUAAGACUGGGAUAACUUCGGGAAACCGGAGCUAAUACCGGAUAAUAUAUUGAACCGCAUGGUUCAAUAGUGAAAGACGGUUUUGCUGUCACUUAUAGAUGGAUCCGCGCCGCAUUAGCUAGUUGGUAAGGUAACGGCUUACCAAGGCAACGAUGCGUAGCCGACCUGAGAGGGUGAUCGGCCACACUGGAACUGAGACACGGUCCAGACUCCUACGGGAGGCAGCAGUAGGGAAUCUUCCGCAAUGGGCGAAAGCCUGACGGAGCAACGCCGCGUGAGUGAUGAAGGUCUUCGGAUCGUAAAACUCUGUUAUUAGGGAAGAACAAAUGUGUAAGUAACUAUGCACAUCUUGACGGUACCUAAUCAGAAAGCCACGGCUAACUACGUGCCAGCAGCCGCGGUAAUACGUAGGUGGCAAGCGUUAUCCGGAAUUAUUGGGCGUAAAGCGCGCGUAGGCGGUUUUUUAAGUCUGAUGUGAAAGCCCACGGCUCAACCGUGGAGGGUCAUUGGAAACUGGAAAACUUGAGUGCAGAAGAGGAAAGUGGAAUUCCAUGUGUAGCGGUGAAAUGCGCAGAGAUAUGGAGGAACACCAGUGGCGAAGGCGACUUUCUGGUCUGUAACUGACGCUGAUGUGCGAAAGCGUGGGGAUCAAACAGGAUUAGAUACCCUGGGUAGUCCACGCCGUAAACA
rnacentral:rRNA from 1 species